GAUGAACGCUGGCGGCGUGCCUAAUACAUGCAAGUCGAGCGAACAGACUAGUAGCUUGCUCCUCUGACGUUAGCGGCGGACGGGUGAGUAACACGUGGAUAACCUACCUAUAAGACUGGGAUAACUUCGGGAAACCGGCGCUAAUACCGGAUAAUAUAUUUAACCGCAUGGUUCAAUAGUGAAAGACGGUUUUGCUUUCACUUAUAGAUUGAUCCGCGCCGCAUUAGCUAGUUGGUAAGGUAACGGCUUACCAAGGCAACGAUGCGUAGCCGACCUGAGAGGGGGAUAGGCCACACUGGAACUGAGACACGGUCAAGACUCCUAAGGGAGGCAGCAGUAGGGAAUCUUACGCAAUGGGCGAAAGCAUGACGGAGCAACGGCGCGUGAGUGAUGAAGGUCUUCGGAUCGUAAAACUCUGUUAUUAGGGAAGAACAAAUGUGUAAGGAACUAUGCACGUAGUGACGGUACCUAAUCAGAAAGCCACGGCUAACUACGUG
rnacentral:rRNA from 1 species